GCACCGUAAAUGGUCUCCAUAGGCAAGUCCAUAGGUCUUGUUCUCGUAAAGUGGAAGUUGAAAAAAGCAGACGCACGUCCCCCUUAGAGAAGCGCAAGGCGCGCAAGUACGACAAGAUGUGUCCGGCACCUUUAUUGGAGGAGACGGACGAGGAAUUCACAAUUCAAUGCUUGAUGGUAUUGAGGAGCCUGCGACCAACGCAGACAUCUUUUAGGAAGAACACCAAAUGCUCUUGAAUGGAGUUAACGACCUGUUGGAUUUUACGCAAUUGUACGAAGCAGCUGCGUCAGAGCCUAGGGUACCAUGAUGCAGCAGAAUUCAAUUUGAAGUAUACCUGGCUCAGUGAGGAUUAGAUUCCAAGUUGCAUGACAGAAUGCCCCUGGCUCCUCAUCUCCAGAUUCAUCAUGCGCCGCCGUCCCUUCCCUCCAACAGCUAUCAAGCUCCAGUUUCGUUAGAAAUACGACUGUUCAUCCCAGAUUCCCUGAUCAAUCUUGCCCCAGAAUUCUAUCUCUUCCCCGACUUUGUCGGAAAAUCAGCAAAAGCUCGAGACCGCUUCGACUAUCGAACCAAGAGGUUGCAACUGGUCUCCACGAUCGCACACUGGUCGGAUCCUCAAUAGCAAUCUGUUCCUUUUGCGGUUCCGACUCACUACCUCGUUUCGCUUCACGAGACUCGACAUAUCUUUUAUGUUUCAGUAUUUGAUAGGCUCGCUAAUUUGAACCCGCUAAAUCUAAAUAACCAAUAUGAUAAGGCAUAUUUCACUGACAAAAGAGGAUGCUGACUGCUUAGUGCUCAAGGCAUGACAAUCUCGGCAAGUCGUAGCGUUGAGCUUGACGGCCAAUAGCGCCAUUUGCCAAUGUAUCCCACUUCUUGGAAAUUACUGUUUAAAGUCAAGCUUAUAUCAUUUUUAUCUCUAAUAACAGAACAUCGCUCCCAUCGCGAGCGCUUGUUGCCAGCAUCGUCUUCGUCAAAAGUCACACCUUCUUUCCCUUUCAGCGUCAUUGUUCAUUCGUUACUCGACUCACUACUACCCGCAUGCUCGGCCAUCGCCGAGAUCUACCUCGUUUUUUGCCCGAUUGGGACUCCAGCACACCACCACAUCAUGCCCAGCCUCCUCAUUCUCGCACAUGGCGGUGCCCGGACUACGGAAACGGAGUUAGAUGAGCCAAAAGCCUGGGAAAAUGACGGCCUUCGCCGUCUGUCACGCGCCUUACUUUGAUGCCUUCGCGCGUGAGAAAUCACACCAACCCUUUCCACUUUCGAGCUCUUUCUUGCUUAAUUCUUCGUACCUUCAAAAGUACGGAUUGUGAAAUGUAUACGGUACAACAGGCGAAUAACCACAGACGAGAGGAUUCUGUAGACACCCAUCAUGAGGGGGUCUGGAGGAAUGGCUGACGAUAUAGAGAGCGAU
rnacentral:sRNA from 1 species